UCCCUGGUGGUCCAGUGGUUAAGACUCUGCACUUCCAAUGCAAGGAUCACAGGUUCAAUCCCUGGUUGUGGAA
rnacentral:tRNA from 1 species